UAUCGUAUGCGCGCGUUUGGUGCCCGCAUAUGCGUUCGCAUGUGCAGUUAAACGGGAAACAGGCCGCGCUCGCUGCGCUUAACCUGUGCUGUCCCCGCAACGGUAAGCGACCUGCGGUGCUCUCGCAUCGCGCAUGCGUUUUUGAUGCCACUGUCUGACGAAUCCGGACGGGAAGGCAAAACGCAUGAGGCCGUCAGCCCGGAUACCGGCCAGACGCGGAGGCAGUGAA
rnacentral:ncRNA from 22 species